rnacentral:rRNA from 1 species
GUAGGUGGCAAGCGUUGUCCGGAAUUAUUGGGCGUAAAGCGCGCGCAGGCGGCUUCUUAAGUCUGAUGUGAAAUCUUGCGGCUCAACCGCAAGCGGUCAUUGGAAACUGGGAGGCUUGAGUGCAGAAGAGGAGAGUGGAAUUCCACGUGUAGCGGUGAAAUGCGUAGAGAUGUGGAGGAACACCAGUGGCGAAGGCGGCUCUCUGGUCUGUAACUGACGCUGAGGCGCGAAAGCGUGGGGAGCAAACAGGAUUAGAUACCCUGGUAGUCCCACGCCCGUAAACGAUGAGUGCUAAGUGUUAGAGGGUUUCCACCCUUUAGUGCUGCAGCUAACGCAUUAAGCACUCCGCCUGGGGAGUACGGCCGCAAGGCUG